GAAGACAACUUCAAAUAUAAUUUUAGGAAAUAAAUUUGUACAAUAUUGGCCUACACCAAAAGAAAAAAGCUCAUACACGCAGUAUCAUGAAGGAAACGAUUCCUCGUUAUCUCAGUUCCAAAUGGAAACUGGUAUCAAUUCACUAAGAUUUAAAUGAAUGAGAACCGUUAAGUCCAUGUCUAUCUCCAUUUUUAGCGAGUUCAACAGCAGGCUCACAGGUAUCUACACAACAGAAAUAUAGAAUAUGAGUUUCGGUUCACUUUAUGUGACAAUUAUAGAAAAGGAACAACCACAAGAAAAAACAAACAAACAUGAGAAAGCACAUGCAAGCAAAUAAGCCUUUAUUUUUUUGAUGAACAUAUGAAACAUCAUAGUAACUAAACACAGUAACAAACUCAUUCGAAGGUAACCAUAUUAGUGCCCAUAGUGCAUAGUUAUUUGAUCCAUAUUUGUUGUCACGGGCGACAAGUACAUAAAAAUUGAUGAAUGAUCAAAGGGUAUUUGGUCAAAGGAUAGUUAGUUCUACUUCACAAAUUGCGACCAUGAUACAUUACAAGUUUCAUAGAUUUUUGGUUUAAUGAAUGUUCAGCUAAGAAGAAAAUGAAUAAAAUAUCAACAUCUUAAUCUCUACUGUUAAACCGCAGUUGGUACGUUAAAUGGUACCCACGUAUCCACCACUCGCGUGACCUUCCCACAUCAUCGUUUUUUUCAACCGAACCCAUUUCCCGAUGCAAGGAAAAAAGCCCUAGAAAACCGACCACCCUUUUCCUUCUCCCUGGUACGACCCCCACACGCACGAUUGCUCCUACGGCGCCGAUUUUGACCAUGUCUCCCAUGUGAUGUUGCUUUGUCCCGCUCCCUCUGCCAUCCAGAUGCAGUCCCUUGCCGCCUCUCUGCUUCAAGGUGUGUGCUCUGAAACCGUCGCCUCCUUUCUUCAGCCCGUGGCAUCUAUUCUCCACUGGAUCAUCAUAAUUUUUCGUCCUUCACUGAGUCCGGCGGCGACAACCAAAGAACCAAGUCCCCAUACAUUUUUUGAGGGCAUGCAAUUAAAGAAGGGGAUGUGUGGCCCAUGAGGUUGCUGCCAUCAGCCAUCAAGGCUGCUGAAAUCUAAUGAAAAAGUGCCUACGGUACAGUUCAUUUCCACUCUCAGUUGGUAGAAAUAAUCAAAUUUCAAGCAUACAAAUUCAAAAUGAAAAAGUCUAUUAUGAGCACCAGAAAGAUAGAAAUGAUCCAUUUAUUUCAUUGCAUACUACUACACCUUGGUGCUUAAAGACAAAACUUAGUUGCAAACAGUGCAUUACCUAGGAACAACAUUUGGUGUACUGAGCAUAACAAUUCAAAAUUAUUCUAUGGCUAUUAAGUGCCUAAAUCUGAGAUUGCAACAUGAAAGCAAGUACUGAUUAAAUUGACAAAUUAUAUGGUUCAUUUGUCCAUAGUGAACACAGAAUUAAAAGAACUGCCAGAACUCAUGGUGGCAUUCUAUAGAAGCAUCAUUCUUCUGCAAGUAUAGUGUUCUCAAGAAAGCAUGGUGUAGCCAAGAGAUCAAGGUGUUAUACAAGCAUUAUUUCAUAGCACAAUCUAGGGAAAAAAUCCUUCGUUCUAGAAGAAUGGCAACCCAAGAUGUACCGACGACAAGAUCCACAGUUACUUUGCAUUACUCCAAAUCAAGAGUUGCAAUAGCAACCUGUUAAUCUGACAUACCUUUAGAUAGAAGCUCAACGACAAUUUCCUUCUGAACCCAUAUUGAGAAAAAUAAGCCAGAUUUGAAUUUUAAUAUCUUUGCCAGCAUUUAUUUUCAACUGCUCAAGCAAAAUAAAACAUGAAUUUCACACCGCAGAAACUACUAAAUGUGAAAUUACAGAAUUUUAGCAUUUGAAUAUGAGAGAACUGUAAAGCAUUGUACAUGAUAGUAAUCGUGUUUUAGAGAACUUUGUCAGUGGUAGUGACAUGCCGCCGACACCAAAUGUCGUUUAUAAUGUACUCCAUAAUGAUCUUUUUUCAGUUUAUCCAUAAUGAUUUACAACCAUUCCUUGAGCUUCACAUGGUACCUGGUCCUGAUACCAACAUCAAAACAAUGCAGAGUAUUGAUAUGUUUUAAAGUGUGCUUGUCUUAGCAAGGCGUGCCUCAGUUUUCAAUUGCACCAUGGUAAACCUCCCACUCUCUAUAUCUCUCUCUAAACAUCUCCGCCUCCAUCAUCGCCCCCGCUCCCCUCACUAUGUCUCUAUGCACUGCCACUCCCCUGCUACCCAGUGUUGGUCCCUGUUAAACUGUUUAACCAUUCGUGAAUUAAACACUAUGCCUUGAAAAAUACUUUCCCUUUAUAAUGAAACAUGCCUACUUCUUUUCCUAAAUAUCAUUCAUCAAUUUAAAUUUGUGAGGUUUCUCUACUACUUAAAUAGUGCAUUAUAUCAACAUAAACUUCAAGUGAGUACAAUAAUUAAGUGAGGUAGCUACAUGCUUGUAUUUCACCUAAAAAUGAUUAAAAGAAGUACUAUUUCGCUCUAAGGUGGCAUACAAACAACAAUAACUCAGUGGACUUUCUGUACAAUUUAGAAGAAAAGCGCCUAGUAUAUCACCCCACUCGACCCUGCUUGGCAUAGAAGAUGGUAGACUCAAAAGAUAUACUAUUUCUAUUCCUUAGCCCGAUGGGUCUGUCUCUCUCAAUAUUACCUCCAUCCCACUAAAACGCAUGUGUUAUGAAUCAUGAACAGGGUGGCUAAUGCGUUUCUGUUACAAAUAUGCUACCAAAAAAAGCUAUAUGAAAUAAGCCUGAUAAAUACGAACCAUAUAUUCUCUGCAAAUAACACAUGAAAACAAAAUAAACUACAACUUAUAAUAGAUUGUACUGAAGGUAAAUCAUCACCCUUCACAACAUGAAUUCAUUGUGAAGCAUCAAUAUUUACAUAAAACAAAUUCCAUGUCAUGCUUAAUGCAAAAGUCCGCACUUAUACCAGCAAAAAAGAACUUAAAACAAUUCUGAAGGGACAACAUCGCUAUCAGGUGGCAACUCUCCUGCAGCAGUGGCAACAAAAGCAAAUAUGAAGAAGUCUUUACUAACCCCACGUGCGAUUCUGAAAAUGAAAAGAUGGAGAUUGAUGUCGAACAUCCGACACUGACGAAGAAGAUGGUCAGGCCAAUCGUAUGAUGUACAGUACAAAAUUUAUGACAAUGACAGUUUAUUUCGAUCAGCUAUCUUUCCAAAUUACACAACUUCUUGUGAGUAGAGUUUUGCCAUCUCUUCUUGUUAUUUAAAGAACCAAACUGCAAGAAGCAACAAGUAGUCAAGCACAGGUUAGAAAUUGUAUUGGACGUACAGUUUUGCCAUCUCAAAUUUCUAUCUUGCUAUUACUAAGCUCGCGGUUGCACUUGAGAAAACCGUGGCAAUAAGGACCGAGGAAACAGUUACUUAAAACAAAUUAUACACUUAUGUAUAUGGAAAGAGAAACCAGACUUGUCAAUAUGAUGUUGGACUGUCACUACUUGUAAAACUGAGUUUUCUUCUCUCUAGCAAUUUCUUCCUGGAAAGAUGAUAAAGUAACUCAUGUCUGCUAAAAUACAAACAUGUGGAUCAAUAGAUAAUAAAGUGACAACAAAAGUUAUACGAAACUCGCAAAAGAGAUGUUAACCUCAGAACCUUUACUGGAUGGUUGGUGCACGGGGCAGCACAACAGAACCGGGAAGUGAGCUGGGAGCGGACGGACGAUCUGGCUCUUCAUUGCGUCGUGCUACAGCCCUCUCGUCCAAAUCAUC
rnacentral:lncRNA from 1 species